CAGGGAAUCUUGUCCAAUGGGCGAAAGCCUGAGACAGCGACGCCGCGUGAGGGAUGAAGGCCUUCGGGUUGUAAACCUCUUUCAGGAGGGACGAAAUUGACGGUACCUCCAGAAGAAGCCCCGGCCAACUACGUGCCAGCAGCCGCGGUAAUACGUAGGGGGCAAGCGUUGUCCGGAUUUAUUGGGCGUAAAGGGCUCGUAGGCGGCUCAACAAGUCGAUCGUGAAAACCCAGGGCUCAACCCUGGGACGCCGGUCGAUACUGUUGUGGCUUGGGUCCGGUAGAGGAGAAUGGAAUUCCCGGUGUAGCGGUGAAAUGCGCAGAUAUCGGGAGGAACACCAGUAGCGAAGGCGGUUCUCUGGGCCGGUACCGACGCUGAGGAGCGAAAGCGUGGGGAGCAAACAGGAUUAGAUACCCUGGUAGUCCACGCUGUAAACGUUGGACACUAGGUGUGGCGGAUUUAUCAACGUCUGCUGUGCCGUAGCUAACGCGUUAAGUGUCCCGCCUGGGGAGUACGGCCGCAAGGCUA
rnacentral:rRNA from 1 species